UAAUACGGAGGGGGCUAGCGUUAUUCGGAAUUACUGGGCGUAAAGCGCACGUAGGCGGACCAGAAAGUUAGGGGUGAAAUCCCGGGGCUCAACCUCGGAACUGCCUCUAAAACUCCUGGUCUUGAGUUCGAGAGAGGUGAGUGGAAUUCCGAGUGUAGAGGUGAAAUUCGUAGAUAUUCGGAGGAACACCAGUGGCGAAGGCGGCUCACUGGCUCGAUACUGACGCUGAGGUGCGAAAGCGUGGGGAGCAAACAGG
rnacentral:rRNA from 1 species